rnacentral:rRNA from 1 species
AGUGAACGCUGGCGGUAGGCCUAACACAUGCAAGUCGAACGGCAGCACAGUAAGAGCUUGCUCUUACGGGUGGCGAGUGCGGACGGGUGAGGAAUACAUCGGAAUCUACUUUUUCGUGGGGGAUAACGUAGGGAAACUUACGCUAACACCGCAUACGACCUACGGGUGAAAGCAGGGGAUCUUCGGACCUUGCGCGAUUGAAUGAGCCGAUGUCGGAUUAGCUAGUUGGCGGGGUAAAGGCCCACCAAGGCGACGAUCCGUAGCUGGUCUGAGAGGAUGAUCAGCCACACUGGAACUGAGACACGGUCCAGACUCCUACGGGAGGCAGCAGUGGGGAAUAUUGGACAAUGGGCGCAAGCCUGAUCCAGCCAUACCGCGUGGGUGAAGAAGGCCUUCGGGUUGUAAAGCCCUUUUGUUGGGAAAGAAAAGCAGCAGGUUAAUACCCCGCUGUUCUGACGGUACCCAAAGAAUAAGCACCGGCUAACUUCGUG